AUCUCAUUACCAAAACUUUUUCAAAGUAGUGUGUUUGAUUACUUUUCCACUUAAAUUCUUACUUAGAAUAUUUGAUUGUUAUUUUUUUUGAUAGAAAAUAUUUUUUAACUUUUGAAAAUAUGGCUAAGAAAACAUUUGUGAUGCAACUAUGGUCGAGGGACAGAAUAUUACAGGUCUGAGAGAAGAGAAGAAGAUAACAGAGUCGGGGAAAAGGCGAGAGAUGGUUUCGACUUCAAUGGUGACGAUAUUGCUGAGAACAGGACUUGAUGAUGGUGCUGACAACCUCUGUGGCAGUGCUUAUUGGGUGUGUUGUAAUUCUCAUGUGGCACUGUGCUCCCAGAUCUGCCUAGAAGGCGGUGGUUUCGCUGUCGAAAUCAAUGGUGCGCAAGGCGUUGGUGGAGUUUCAGGAUGUCGACGAUGAAAAGAUGAAAAUCACCAUUUUUAUGGGACCCAGACUGGUACUGUGAAAGGUUUUGCUAAGAGCAUUUAUUUGCAUCAAGUUCUCUGGAGAUUGGAGUACAUAGAAGCUUUGGAGUGCACAUAACGAGGAGCAAAAAUCUAAAAAAUAUGGUUAUUGGAUGUCCAAAGACCAGUGACAGUGACUUGAAAUGCAAGAAGGUAUAUUAAAUCUAAUUUCCUGCCAUUUUACACUUGUAGUAGCUUAACUUUAAUCGAAUGAACUUUUUAAAAGAGAAAUAUGAGUUGCAAAAUAAUAGUUAUAUUGAACUUGUAAGGGUACAUUUUCCAUGACUUAAAGAACAAGUAAAUUCAUCUGAUUUAUCUUAAUAAUCAAGGUACUGAUUUUCAAGAGUCUAAUUUAUUUUCCAUCGUCUUCCUUUUGAACUUAACAUAUAUCUCUUUGUAUGCGUGUUGGCAAAAAAACAAAGCCCACAAGCUCUCCAUCAGAACAACAGAGUCGAAAAAAGAAGUAAUCCUUGUUGUACAAAUUUGGAAACCUGUGAAGAUAUUGUAUUCUUUAUCGUACUUCCAUGUGUUUGCUCAAUGUUUCUUCCUUUAUUUAUUUGUCUUACUUUUUGCUCCUACACAGGGGUAUAAAUAUUAAAAGAUUUGUAUCAUCUUUAGAUUUUUUACCUUUUUGGUUUC